GUGUGUGUUUUGAAUUGCAUUUUAAAAUUGCCCAGCUGGAGACAAGGCUUGAUUAGAGCUGGAACAAUAGCUCCCUUUUAUUAAUAACGGGAAGGAUUUACAAUCGUACAGCACCUUCCUUGGAAAGCUUUCCAAACCAUUUGCAAACACUCACAAAUUUCAGAUUGCGCAGCCCUUGGCUGUGAGUCCCUAAGUGACCUCCUGCAGCACUGCCUCCGCUGCGGUUCCAGCACGGCCUUGCACUGGAGCACUGAUGUGUGUCCCUGUGGAGUGACCUUGCUGGGGGGACUGGGCCCACCGAGCGAUUCAGGGAAACAAUGUAUUGUUUAUGAAGCCCUUCUCCACAGCAGAUCCCUGCAAACCACACAGGGAUCCAGGAGUCACCCAGGCAGUGGGAUCUGGCCCUGCCAGAAAUGUGAGGGACAAUGCUCCAGCCAUGCCUGCGUGUGUCACACACGGGCCACACAAACCCACAGUGUUCCUGUGGUUACUUCUGUCUGCUGAGCAUCAGUGGGUCCCAGGGCUUCCCCUUCCCACUGCUUGCUGCUUCACAAAGGCUGAUGCUUCUGGAAAAAGCUCUGCCUUGUGGCCUUUAAAAUAAAUAAAUAAAGCAGCGCUGCUGUGGAUUAGUCAUCCUUAUUUUUGCAGGAAGCUGUUUGCCAGCGCUGUCCCAAUCACGCAUGUGCGUGUGAGAUGGGAACUCCAGCAGGCUGCUAACGUGCUCUGCUCGCUGCUCCUUGGAGCUCAGCCACCCAGCCUUCUUUGAGCUGCUCCUGGCAGGUGGAAAAACCCACAGUCCAACUUUCCAGACCUUUCCCUCCUUUUUGUUUUUCAGUGCUGGAAUCUGCAUUGGCAGGUGUGCAAAUGUGGAGACUGUAACAGCAGCAAGUGAGGAUGGAUGAGGUGUUUUCUGGGGUCAUAUCCAAUUCCAGAGAAGAAACCCUGGUGAUUUAUAAUUUUUUUCUUGUAGAAUUUAUUCUGAGCUCCACUGUAUCUUGUGAGAAGACUGAGUUUGACCCUUUUGGCUCCUAAAAAUGGUUCUGUUUUUAAACCUUGGUGCUUUUCCGCUUCCCUGUGGUCAUGCAGAAGAGCAAGCAGUGCAAUUAAACAGUACAGCAAAGGGCAGCUCCCUCCCCCUUUCCCUUUCAAAAAAUCCAGAGUUGUGUGUCUUGAACUGCUGCAUAGGCAGAAAACAUACAAAGCCCUUGUCAGCAUUGUGCUGAUGUGUGGCACGUUAAAAAAAAUACACACAAAAGGGGUGGGGAGAGCUGGUGCCUCCAGGGAGCAAAAUUGUGGGGCCCCUUUCCCUCCAAGCCCACAGACCUACGUGGGAUAGUCUUUUCCUCCUAAUUUUGCUCAGGUUGGAGGGAGUGUUGAACCUCUUAAAUGGUGUUGAUGAAGAUCGGGGUCUCCUUGAAUUACAUUUUGUUUUCUCUGUGAACUUGCUCCCAUGAGAUGCAGCCGGUUUAUUACUCCAUUCCUCAGAGUGCCAGGAAGAAGGGAAACGCUUCCUUACCGACUGUCCUUUCCUUUGUUUUGUUGCAAAGGUGAUAACCACAGACGUGGUGCUGGUUUCUGCCCGGUCACACAUGGCUGGGAGGCGCAGCUUCCCGCAGUCAUUAGCACACAGGGAGUGCUGGGGGUCGUUAAAUGAGGAUAUCACAACGGGAUUCCAUGCAUGCCGCUGCCUGACCCGGCCCUGGAGAAGCCCCUCAGGAGAAAUUAUUUCACUGACUGGUUGCUGCAGGGAUUUCUAGCACAGCUAUGGCUUUAUCCUUUUUUUUUGGCUAAAAUGAAGUGCAGGAUGGGGAUGAGGUGGCCAGGCCAGGUUUCAUACCCUGCUCCCUGUGGUAGGUGUGUGAACAGUGUGCCUAAAGCCUUGUUUGGAAUAAGGCAGCGUGGACAGGGAUUUGGAUUUCAUUCCCUCAUUAGGGCUGUGCUGGUUUGGAGAUGCACCUUGUACUCUUCAUGGGCCUUUGCUGGCAGGGAGGUUUGGAGGAGCAAGAAGCUGCCUGUUGGGAUGAUUCCACAUUUUUCAGGCUGGCACACCCUGUGGGACUCUAAAUUACUUUCCUUUGGCAGUUUAGGAUAAACUGAGAAUUGCCUUGUGAGCACUGAACUUUUACCACCCUGAAGAGUUACUCGAGCUACAUCCAUGAUAUUUCCAAGCUAAACAAAACCUGAAUUUCCAGUGCCAAAAAGCAAUACAAACCUCCACUCCUCCUCUGUUCAGGAGAAAACCACAGUCUUUCAAGCUUUGCUCUUAGCCCAAGGAGUUAAAAAGCUGCACUGUGAGAUCUGCAGAGGUGAAAAUAAAAGCCAAAGGCAGACGAGGAACUUCUCCCAUGCCGUGUUGGAGGAGAGGCUGUAGAGCACAGCAGGUGUUGAUGCACAAAUAUUUCUCUUUGUGCUUUCUCUGGAGUGAAGGAGUGCUAACUGCACAGACAUGGGGUCACUCCUCUUCAUUUAAACACCCUCGUGUUGCUGUGGUAUCAAAAUGGUGUUUGAUGCAACCAAAGCUCAGAUCAUGGUGGCUUGGAGUUUAUUUUGUGCUGCUCAAUCCAGUGCAGAAUGUGAGGAGAGCAGCCUCUGUCUUGCAGAUUUGGACUGUGGGGCUUGUCCUGUAACAUUUCCAGUGUAAUUUCUGAGAUUUUUUUUUCUCCUGGGCAUUGCACACAGGUAAAAAUCACAUCUGGAUGUAGGUUUAAUACAACAAUUAAGUGUUAAAAAUGGCAAAGUAUAGGAUUCUGUGAUCUAACCAGUCCUAGGGGAUUUACAUCCUUUGCAGUUGUCCUGUUUGGGUAUCAAAUCACAUAGACCUGUCUUUUUUCUGUUUAUUUUCUUUGGCUUUUCCUUAAAAUGUGAUCUUUUGCAGCCUGGAUGGCCACAGUCCUGUCCAGUGAUGAAAGCCCUGUGUUUGGGGAGAACCCUUGUGAGGUGAGCAGACACAGCUCUCUGGCACAGGAGUUUGGGAGCAAGGGGAAGCAGGGCAGAAGUUGGCACUGUGAUAUUCCUGUGAUUUUUUUUAUUUUUUCCAACAACAGGCUAAAAAAAAAGGUGCUCUUUUUAAUAUUUCUUUCUACCACACCAUAAGCAAGAGUAACUCUUUUGCAGUGCUGUGUUGGCACUUAGGUUUUGAUUGUGUGGCUUAACCAUCACACUGGGUUCUGUUGCUGAAGAAACCUCUUUUUUAGAAGGAAUUUUAGAAGCAGAAAUAUGCUUUUAUAUAGAGAUAAAAGUGGGUUCAAUGUCAACUGAAGCUCAGGGGCCCCUGUAUCCUGGGCUGUGGGAUGUGGCUGUGUUAAACCACUGGCUAAAAUGGUGGCAUUUUGUGGCAUCUCCUGUCCCUGUCAUCGUGGAUAAGAACACCACAGGGAAGAGAGUCAGAAAAUAAAUUACUAAAUGUUGCAUUUCAAAAACGUGAAGGGAGUUUUCUGCACAAAGUCAUCUCAUCAGGAAGAUUUGGAGCUCUAACCCUCAAAAAGAACUGAAAUCAAGAGGUUUAUUAAUAUAAAUCCUGUGCUUUGUGUUUUUAAGGCUGCAGAACCCAGCUCUGUGCUCCAAGUGUUUUCAGCCCCUGAGCCCAUAGCCUCUGUCUUGGCAACAAAUGGGCCUAAAUAUCAAACAGCACCAAUUCUUUCUUGGAGAAAACGAGCAUAAAGCAGAGUGGGUAAGCUAUAAAAUUAGGCCAAUAAUUCAGGCUGGCUUAAAAAGGAGAUAAAAGCCUAGCUGGGAAUUUGAUAUUCAGCUGUCAUAGUGUUCUUUUAAUAAAUACUAUCAAUGAGCAAGGAGGACCCAUAAAUACAUUUUAUCCUGACAAGAUGGUGGCUGGAGCUGGCUGGCUCAAACCAAGGAACACCCUGAGUGUUUGUUGGGGCUCUUUGCUGGGAAACCUCCUGCUUUUUUUCAGAAAGGAAAGGAACUGGCUGUGCACUGGUGGUGGGGAGAACCCUCAUGUUCCUGCUCAGAUCCCUGUGAAUCCCAGCUGAUGUAGCCAGGGAGGGGUGCAGCGUCCUCCUUUCUCAGCACACCGCACAGAGAUGUUGCUGAGCCAGACCUGAGGGUAGGAAAUGAUGGUCUGAGCCAACAAGUCCUGGUUGCUGUCUUUGUUCAGUAUCUUUGCUUUUUGAAACGUUUGCUGAGCGGUCUCAGCGAUGCGUGGCAGCUCCGCCGCUCGGGAAAGGCGCCGCGUUCAAAAUGGAUAAACCUGCCUUUUGAAGCAUUGUGUCUGCCCACUUCUAUUUAUUGGUUUUUCCUCCUCAAAGAGAGGCUGCUGUGUGGACCCCAAGGAUGUUUUCCGCUUCUCCUGUCUUUUUUUUUUCCCCUUCAAACUGGAGAGCUGCUAACUUUAUUAGCUCCUUAUAUGGCAGCCCCAUUUUCUCACGCCUUUAAUGGCUCUCUUUUGAUCUGUCCUGUUCUUGCCUUGCUUUUCCUGACAUGAACGUGGUGUUCAAGCUGAGAUGGGUUUAUAACCUGCUCCCUCACUAAUAAAUGGCCUGGCACUUUAAUCCUCUCCAAGCACUGAUAAGAAACAUCCAAAUGUUUUAACUGUGGGGCUGGCUGAGUUGUCUGUAGAUAGCUGACUCUCAGCUAUGCCCUCCCAGGAGUAAUUUAAAUUGUUCCUUGCAGUGUGUAUCCCAAAGGCUGAGGGUCAUGGAGAGCAGCUCAGCUCCCCUUGUCCUGAGUUGUUUGGCCCCUGGGAAGGGCAGCAUGCAGGGCAGUGCAGCUGUGCCUCACCCCUGGGUGCUCCUCACGCUGUCACACAAGGAGAACACUGGGCUGGCACAAAUGUGUGUCCUGCAGACACAAGGAUGGUGUUGGUCCUUCAUCACAGCCCCUCUGACCUGCUCAGGGGAGGGUUGUACCUGCUCUGCUCUCCAGCCUGGGGCUGUGUUCUUUAAAAUCAUCGACUGAGCUGUGGGGAUCUGGUUACAGCAGCAUCGCUGGUGUGGUUGCAACCAGGAACAGCUUCCCUGCAAAGCAUUUGAAGAGUAUCACCAUGGUCCAGAGCUUUGUUUUGCGUCACCAGCCGAGCUUUGUGCUGCUCUUCCAGCUGGCUGUUGUGUAAAUGGAGCCGUCCUGGCGCUGGUCUCAACCCUCUCCUGUCAACAGAGUCGAUGGCUUUGUUUGUGACAGCUCCCAGCCCCUGCGUGUCCUGUGAGAUGGCCGGGUGACAGCAGUGACUCCGUGUGAGAUUCCCUGGAAGCACCUGGGAGCUGCUGUGGUUUCCUCGUGUGUCCCUUGGAGGUGCCACCCCAGCAGGGAGGAAGAACAGUUGGGAUUGCAGCUGCAGCAAGUGCACCCCAUCGGAGGAGGAGAAUUUUUCAUGGAAGAGCUGUUUGAUUUUUUGGUGGUUUUUUGGUUUGGGUUUUUCCUCUCUGAAAUGGAGAGCCCCUUAAAGGUAGAGACAGGUACAAACUGCUCCUUGGGCUUCCCAUCAGGUAAAGAAAUGGAAAGCUGAGCCCAGCUCCACACUGGAAGCGCCGGUGGAGCGUGUUGGCAGCGCAUUUUCUGGUGUGCACGUGGCUCCAUCUCACGUUGUGAAUAAUAGAUGGCUUGCGUGCAAGGAGUUGUUGGGGUUUUUAAUUAAUCAGCAGAUCCCACUUUGGCAGAGCCCAUCAUCACUGGGGAAACUGAGGCACGGGGCUGCCAAAGGAUGGGCUUGCAGCCACUGGAGCUGGGGCUAAGGCUCGGGGCCACCACAGAUGGAGUCCGUGUGCGUCAGAGACGUGAUUAAAUCAGGAGAUUUGCAUGUUUGUUAAGCCACUACAGCUCGGUGACUUUGACCAGCAGCAAGGUGGACUUGUUGCCGGAAGGUUGCGGUGUCCGGCCGGACUGGGUGGCAAAAGGCAGCUCUGACCAAUAAAA